ACGGGUGCGUAACGCGUGGGAACCUGCCCUUAGGUUCGGAAUAACUCAGAGAAAUUUGAGCUAAUACCGGAUAAUGUCUUCGGACCAAAGAUUUAUCGCCUUUGGAUGGGCCCGCGUAGGAUUAGCUUGUUGGUGGGGUAAUGGCCUACCAAGGCGACGAUCCUUAGCUGGUCUGAGAGGAUGAUCAGCCACACUGGGACUGAGACACGGCCCAGACUCCUACGGGAGGCAGCAGUGGGGAAUAUUGGACAAUGGGCGAAAGCCUGAUCCAGCAAUGCCGCGUGAGUGAUGAAGGCCUUAGGGUUGUAAAGCUCUUUUACCAGGGAUGAUAAUGACAGUACCUGGAGAAUAAGCUCCGGCUAACUCCGUGCCAGCAGCCGCGGUAAUACGGAGGGAGCUAGCGUUGUUCGGAAUUACUGGGCGUAAAGCGCACGUAGGCGGCGAUUCAAGUCAGAGGUGAAAGCCCGGGGCUCAACCCCGGAACUGCCUUUGAAACUAGAUUGCUAGAAUCCUGGAGAGGUUAGUGGAAUUCCGAGUGUAGAGGUGAAAUUCGUAGA
rnacentral:rRNA from 1 species